GCCCCCAGCUUUUCCCGUCCGCUGCGGCAGCGCCGAUUCCGGACUUACCCGAGAGGCGGAUACCCCCGUCCCAGGAGCCGUGGGGUGGCGCGGCACACCCGGCUACGGUCCGGGGAGAGAAGUCCAGUCCAGCCCGCCCCGCGCCCGUACGGACAACACCCGUCCACCCACUGAUGCCGGGGCCCCGCAACUCUGCAGAGCCCCGGGGCUGUCAAUUCGAGAAGCACCACGCCAGCAUGUCCCCGUGACAACACGAGCGGGGGCGAGGGGCACCGAGGCGGAGACUGCCCUUAACCUAGUCGCAACCUCCGUCCACCCCACCAGCAUCUAUCUGUCCAUCGCGGGCGCCAGCUCCCCCCGGGGCUGGGGCUGAGGGCAGCACCCUGGUCGCUCCAGCGGAUGAGGAGCAGGCAGCACCGAGGCACUCGCAUGGUACCAACCCCCUCAAAGCCCACAGUCCCCACCACGAACAAAGAAACCCACGGCGGCCCUGGGCGGGUCCACUCACCGUGCCGGAGACGCGCCUCCACCCGCCCGCGGCCUCGCGGUCCGCAGGGACUGGGCGCAGCGGGGGCUUCCAAACCUGUCUCGCAGGUCGGGGACCCACCGCCUCAGCGGUGCCCCCGGUCCGGCAUCCGACCCUUCCUCCCAGGCACCGCCGCCUCGGCCUCACAGCCCCGGCUCCAUCCCGCUCCCCGCGCGCCCACCCUCCGCCGCGGCGCAACGCCGGCCGCGGAAGACCAGCCUACCGCCGCACCCCCGCCGCCUCAGCGGAAGCCUCCCCGAGCCCCUUGUUUUUGUUAAGAGUUUCGACGCCCCCAAGGGGGCGGGGCACGUGACUCCCCGCGGAGGGAUCCUGCACUUCCUCCACGGACUUUAAAAAAGAGUCCCGCCCCUAAGCCGCCGUCUCGAGCCUCUCUCGCGGCCUCCCUAGCUCUCCUCGGCUUUGCCGAGCCAGUCCUCCCGCCUGGCGCUAGGGCGGAGAGCGGAAUCUGGGCGUCGGGCUUAUUCCGCGAUUGAUCUGCGUUGGGGAACGGGGGAAGACAGAGGGGCGGAAGGAGAUCGUUUCUGGUCUCAUUACGCCUUUUAAAGGUCCCCGAUUUGUUUUGUUUUAGCUGUUUUGAAAAGUCCGCCCAAAGUAGCCGGCUCUCUGAUUGGAUGCGGGUGGGGCGAUGGGAAUGCUGAGGACCUGAUUCACCCUCGAAUCUGGAUUGGCUAACUUAUCAGUCUUGGAGCCCUCUGAUUGGCUUUCUCCGUAGCCUGAGCCUCUCUCUGCCUUGGGGCCUUAGCAACUCCAGGGUCUGGAUUGCGCAUGCCUGGGUGGGCAGCGGGGAAGGUAUUCAGUUACCUGCCCUGCGGGGCUGUGCCUUCUCGCCUGGCUGCCUCCGCCCUUCUCGGGGGAAUGUCACGCUCGCGGCGCUUCUCCUAACAGCUAACCUUUGUGACAGCCUUUUCAGCCACGGGAGAGUUUUCUACAUUCCUUCUUUAUUUUGUCUUGCCGUUCCAUUUUGCAAUAACCCACCAAAUUAUUAUAACAUUGUCGGGGCGUUUACUAAAAUAUUCAAUAAAUGCUACAAGUUUGGGUAUUUGCUUUAAAAUGUUCCAGUCCAAGAGAAAAAAAAAAUGGAGAAGAGAGGUGAAAUAAGAUAGGCAAAAAGUUGAGGGUCGAAGCUGGGUGAUGGGUACUCGAGGCUGCAUUACAGUAUUCUUUCUACUUCUGUGUCUUGGAAUUUUUCCAUAAUUUAAAAAAAUUCAGGAGGGACUGAAGGAGGGGGCUUUUCAAUAAAAACUUAGCACGCUGAUGAGGGUACGUAAACAUCUAAUAAUUACGGCGUACCUCCAGAGGUUGUAGUGCUGUUGUUUUAAUGAAGACUCCCAGAGCUUCUUGGUCCUUGGUAACCCAUAAAUUAUCAUUUAUUGUUCAUUAUAAUUAGCGUUGUUAUUAUAGGCGACACCUCUCCCAGGACGGGACAAAAAGCAAACCAACCAGGUGCCUUAGGCCAGAGACACUUUCACACGGAAUAUCAAUGGGGGAUGUGGUUGACUGCCCUGGAACAUUUAUUUGUUUACUCUCUCCCUCCUAAAUUAGAAAAUACCAUAUUCGUGAGUUCUAAUCUACAUAAUCAGAUAGUCCCUGGGAAGAGAUUUCUCCUUUCUGUUCUUCUAUGUGUUUUCUGUGAAUUAUUUUGUUACUUGUGAAAUAUGGGAAGGCACACAACUAGCUUUGGCAGCGCUCUUCUUUGCGGAGCAGCUAAGGAAUUUUAAAACUAGGUCCCUUUGCAUAUUAGCUCGGACUAAACACAGGCAUCUGUUUGGAGCACAGAGCAACUGGGGGAAGGCAGCCCAAAAAGCUAACACUUAUUUCAGAGAGGUGUGAGCUUGGUGAGGGUUUUGGAAAAUAAGAUAAAAUUAGCACACCAGUUUUAAAUGAUUUACAGGCUACAUAAUUUUAUCCAAUGCUUGUUUUAUCUUUUAAACAUUAAGUGAUAACUUUUAUUUGACAUAAUCAUCUUGCUGGAAAUCUAUGCUGAUAAACAUAAUAGGAACAUGAAACUAACUUAGAGACUAGAGCUAAGAUUAAAAUUACAGAGAUGACAGCUCAUUGUACAGAGCAUCAAAAGGCUGAGUGGACAGGGCCCACAGACAGAAAGCAGCUCGACCAACUAUCCACCAUCAGAGAAAUGAAGAGUUUGUGAUCAAAGCAUGAAGGAGACUGGGGAUGUUUUUUUCAAGUAAGAAGGCAAAGACAGCCUCUUGAAUGAUGUGAACAGUGAUGGCUUUCUCUGAGAGUAAGACAAGAAAGCUUUGUAAAUGGCGUUGAAUUUCCUGCUCUUGGCAGGCCCUGCUCAGCACAGAAGAAAAGACUGAUCAGAUUGUCCAAGAUAGAGCCCUUUAUCCACAUUAGUCCACUUAUCUCUUUAAGAUUAAAGGAAAGCAAUCAUUAAAAAUACAGAUCCAGUAAUUAU